rnacentral:lncRNA from 1 species
CGAGUUCUCCUUCUCAAAUUGCUCCUCAGCUCCUCAACGGGGUCCUGAAAUGUUUUUCCCCAAACUGGGAUGAGACUACGUCUCAGCGAGUUCUACCCCACUAAGCCCGAUUAGUAAACCACUAUAUUAUAGGCUGCCUAUACACGCACAGGGCAGAAGACGUACCUUGGCAUCAGAUCCCACCUACAAGUCAGUACAAUUCAUAAUAGGCACCCAAGCAAUCAUAUCACCGAUCGAAGCAUCGAUCAAAUCGACCUAGUCGAUUACAAGCCAAUAAGACCACUCACGGUCAUUCCCAUUCAAUCAAUCAAUUCACAACAUCAGAUCAAAACAAUGAUCAAUCGACCUAGUCGAUUACAUGCCAACAAGACCACUCACGGUCAUUCCCAUUCAAUCAAUCAAUUCACAACAUCAGAUCAAAACAAUGAUCAAUCGACCUAGUCGAUUACAUGCCAACAAGACCACUCACGGUCAUUCCCAUUCAAUCAAUCAAUUCACAACAUCAGAUCAAAACAAUGAUCAAUCGACCUAGUCGAUUACAUGUCAUUCGGACCACCUCUGGGUCAUUCCCACUCAUACCACGAUUUCCCAGUGGUGUACUCAUUCACCAAAUCACAUGUGUUUCUCGGGCGUCGUUUUUGCCAAUGACAUACCGAUCACCGACACCGUGCGUUCUUUAAGGCGCCGUUUUCACCAGUGAUAACCUUGAUCACCGAACCACGUGUCCUUUCAAGGGCGCCGUUUUCGCCAAGGUGACAUCGGCUAUAGACAACAUCAUGCGUUCUUUAAGGCGCCGUUUUCACCAGUGAUAUUCCCAUAACCACCGAACCACGUUUGUCUAUAAGUCAUUUACGUGCGUUCUUUAAGGCGCCGUUUUCGCCAGUGAUACUUCCAAUCACCGAACCACGUAUAUCCAAUAACAUCGUACCUGAUUGGUCUCAGCCAAUAACAUUCUCAGUUAGCUCUCACCAUUCUCCCUACUAUAUAGCCCAUCAACGUACUGGCGCUAUAUACCCAUACUCAGCCAUCCAUCAAUCAAAUAUUCAAUAACAAACAAAUUAGGACAAUUCCUAAAAUUCCACAAUAAAUUCAAUUCCACACAACGUAGAGCUCAAAUAAAUAAACGGUCUGCACCACGACAAUCAGCACGAAAUUUCGGUCAUCGGCCAUCAAAAUCUUAAUUUCCGAAAAAUAAAUAAAUAAUUAUUAAUUUCGAAAAUUAAAUAAUUAUUAUUAAAAAUUCAAUUUAGCUCAAAAUAAAGCCCGAUUACAUAAACGGACUUCACCACGGUCAUCAGCAUAAUUUUCCGGUUCCAAGCCAUCUCAGUUGAAUUUCCGGAAAAUAAAUAAAUAAAUAAAUAAUUUCGAAUAUUAAAUAAUUAAUAUUAAAAAUCCCNNNNNNNNNNNNNNNNNNNNNNNNNNNNNNNNNNNNNNNNNNNNNNNNNNNNNNNNNNNNNNNNNNNNNNNNNNNNNNNNNNNNNNNNNNNNNNNNNNNNUAUCCCGGUUCCAGACCAUCUCACGUUGAAUUUUCGGAAAAUAAAUAAUUAUUUAAUUUAAUUCCGAAAAUUAAUAUUUAAAUACAAAAAAAAUCCACUUAGGCCCGAAAAGCCUAAUUGGAGCCCACUAAGGGUCGGGAAAAUCCUGAGGCACUUCCAAUAAUUAGUAGACCACGUCUACUUGCUGAUUACACAAUCAAUUUAUCUAAAUCGCAUCACAAUUGACUAAUAAUUGCUAAUUUACUCUAAUCUAACAACCUAAACAUAAUUAAUUAAAUCUAAACCAACCUUAAGCAUAAUUAGCCAACUAAUCCAGGAUUAGUGAGAUUACUCACCAAAUCGCGCACAAAUCGGAUCAAUCCGACGGCGGCGACGCGAGGAACGAUUGUUCCCAAAGCACGGCUCGGGUUCGGGGCCGGGAAACGGUCCAAAAGCGGGCCCGAAGUGCUGGAAACCCACUUCGUGGGUCUGCUGGUUUAGCUGCAAAACAGAGAGAAAGAGAGAGGGUUGGGGGCGGCAAGAGGUCGGGAGAGUAGGCGGGGCUCCGGUGAGGCCGGACGGCGGCUCCGGCGGCCUGCUCAGCCGCUCACGGUGGCUGAACAGAGACCGAACGGGAGCUGGGUCGCACGGCAGGGACGGCAAGCGCAGGCGACGCACGGGUGGCGAACGGCGGACGUGCGGCGUGCGCGGGCGUGCGGUGCGGCGGCGGGACAGGCGGCGAUGGUGGCUGGCUUCUGCUUCCGAUCUCCUGCAGCUUCUGGUUCGGUUUGCUCAGAGAAGAACGAAGAAGAAGAAGAAGGUAACGUGAGGGAGGAGGCAAGAAGAGAGAGAAGAGAUAAGGGAGAGAAGUUUUGACUAGUCAAAGAGGAGAG